AGAGAGCAGAGCUGCAGAUAAGGGUGACUUCCUGGAACAAAGAGUCCCUCUCUCCAACCCACAUGGCUGCAGCCCUUCCCGGGCAUCGGGCCCCUGGGCUCUGUCCUUGCACAACCGUCCUGUGAGGGCCACGGAGUAAGGCCCCUGGUGUGACGGGGACUAGGCCAUCCCUGCAGGCCAAACCUUCCUUGAGGCCUUCACUCUGCAAACCUUUUCCAGCUGGCUAUGGGAAGUCGGGGAAGGGCUGAUCCCAAGAGCAACGGGGGGCCACCCUCGACCCUCGUCGUAAGCCGUGUGGGCAACAGCAGCGAGCGGCGUGCUGGGAGGGCCACUCUGGGCAACGGGACCGACGAGCUGCUCCGCCACGGGGACGGUGCCUCCCUCAGAAUUCCUUGUCUCCCCUCCAACAGUUCGAGCAGAUUCCAGUCUUGACAACGCGGGACCCCAUUCUGCUCCAACAAGGUGAAGCGGAUGGUGGUUGACUUCUUCCGAAUCUGGUCUGGACACAGGUCGCCAUCGACAUAUUUCAGGACAGUGGCACCAUCUCCCCAUUGUGGCCCCUCGCUCACCCUGCCGAGGUUCACCGGCUUGGAGCCGCUCAGGAGACACGCGGCCGCUUCCGGAGGGCACGGCUCUGUGAGAGGAGACAUGGUCGUUACCUUGGCUGAUUUUCCAGCCUGCGAUUUAUCUGGUCUUCACACAGAAGAGGCUGCAUGUCCCUUGCCCGCUCGGAACCACAGACAAAACCUCCAGGGAUGGGACACAACGUGCCUAUUUUGUGCAGUUCCAAAGACAUUCCUGUUGGGAGUCAUACACCGUAAAGUCCUCUCUCUUACCUCAAGGGCACCCAAACCCACCCAAUUCCAGGAACCACAGGUGACCGAGACCAAAAGGGCCACCGACCGCCCCCGAAAACCUACGUCUGGGGGCCGCAUCUCCCACACCACCCAGCCCCUCAUCCUCUCCACGCCUUCUUCGCUGCUGUGCCCUCAGACACAAGCAGCGUGCGACGGUGGAGGGGAGGCCAGGUGAUGUCCUAGUCACCCCGCUGCACUUACACCAGGGAAUCACACAAGGUUUUCUGUCCCAACUGCAAUCACCCCCCGGUGCGCAUCUUAACCCAAAAUAAUCCCUGACCCGAAGCUGUGAAGGACUUGGAAGUUCACUUGGUCCCAGUGCUCAUCUGACUAGGAAGGGACAAAGGCUUAGAGAAACCACCUAAGCUAACCUCCCGUGCCCCGAACUCCGAAGCUGGCCCAAGUUCCUCCGACAUGAGGAAGAGUCAACA